UCUUAGAUGAUAUUUCAUAUAAUAUGUAUAGUUAAUAAAUUUUUAUGUAACACAGAGUACCUAACCAGAAAGCACCCUUUGUCAAAAUUUCUUAUCAUGUUUCGUCAAGUUGCACUACAUUUAUGUCCAACAUGGCUUGAAAAUAAACUCACGUCCAUGUAUUUUAGGGCAAAGAGCAUUUCUUUUAACAGUAGAUUGCACAGCUUGAGCACAACAGUGAAUUAUUCCAUCAUGAAAGUACAAAUUUUACCAGCACUUCAAGAUAAUUAUAUGUAUUUGGUUAUUGAUGAAGCAACACAAGAGGCUGCCGUUGUCGAUCCCGUCGAUCCAAAAGCUGUCAUUAGAGCGGUCCGACAAAGUAAUGUCAAAUUAACAAAGGUUUUAACAACUCAUCAUCAUUGGGAUCAUGCUGGAGGAAAUGCCAAAUUAUCAAAGAGCUUUAUUGAUCUUGCAAUAUAUGGCGGGGAUGACAGAAUAGAGGCCAUUAAUUGUAAAAUUAUGCACAAUGAUACAUUUAAUAUUGGUAAUUUAUCAGUAAAAUGUCUUGCAACACCUUGCCAUACACGUGGACAUAUUUGUUACUAUGUUAUGGCAGGAGAAGGACAUCCACCAUCUGUGUUUACAGGAGACACACUUUUUGCUGGAGGUUGUGGGAAAUUUUUCGAGGGUACCGCAGAUCAAAUGUACAAAGCACUUGUCGAAAUUUUAGGCUCUUUACCCGAAGAGACGACGUACAGUGGCAGUUACAGUUGCUUCGCUGUAAAGUUCGACUGUGUCGAAUUUUGAGCGUGCCUUCGCUGAGAUGCGCUAAAACAGCCAUUUUAACGAAAAUCGAUGGAGAAGGGGUAAAAGCCAGCUUUGCUUCGCUCGCAUGAAAUUGCACCUUUAGGGCGAUAAUUAGGCGGAAAAGAGAGAAGAGUAUACAUAUACAUAUAGGAGCCAGAGGUAAGAUUAAGGAAUUUAGAGUAGAGGAAGGAAUGGACUCAAAUUGCAUGUCCUAGGCGAUGAAAUUGAAAAGGAGAAAGAAAUAGGAAAGGGCAGCAGAAAAGAGGUCAAGAAUAGGAAACGACAACAAAGCAGAGCGUCUAUACGAAGAAAGAGCAGAAAGGGCAAAUAGAAGGAGACCUUGAAUAACGAGUCAACGGAGAAUUCUAGAAGAAAUUAUAGGAGAUAAUCUAGAAAGCAACAGUAAAGAAAGGUGUAGAGAAAAGAAAAAGAAUUAGAUUACCAGGACUGGUAGGAUAGAGACUGUACAAGAGGGAAGAGGAAAAUCCAAGGAAUUUUAAAGAGGCGGAAGAAAAGUAGGAUUACGACAGAGGAUUAAAUAGAGAAGAGUAAAUUAAAGAACUUUCUAAACUGGAAACAAGAUAAAGAAAAGGAAGGAAGGAGAGGAAAUAGAUUUUAGAAGCUUGAAAAUGUAACGAAAUUGUGGAAAUAGAUAACUAGGAAAAGAAAAGGAAAAGAGCAAAUAAGAAACAAUAUAAGUAAAGAAUGAAAAUUUACUUGAUGAAACUAUAUAUUGGAUGGAACAGAUGAAGGAGAGAAAAGAGACAAUAGGAAAUAUCGAGAUAAAGGAACGAUGGACAUUAUUUUAUCUUAAUCCACAUUGUACAGAGGAAGAAAUAAAAAAGAAAAAAAGAUUUUCGCCCUUUUUAUGGACUAGAUUUGAAAGCAGCUUACAACGUAAGAAAAGAGAAAAUUUUGGAUGAAUACUAGAAGAAUUAGGAAGUAUGAAGCAGGCGAGUGGAAGAUUAAAACAUACGAAGACACGAAGGUAACAGUAAUAAUACAAGAAGGAUUGACAAAGUUUUUAGUACAACGAAGGGAGCAACAAAACAGUGAAAUGGGUCCAUUGCUUUUCAAUUUGUAUAUAGCGGAGUUAGAUAAGAGUACCCGCGGAAUAGAAGAUAUAUAAUUAGGUUAUGAGAGGAUAUGAUCACUAGCGUAGACGGGCGAUAGGAUAUUUUAAAAAAUAAGAAAGAUUUAACAGAUAUGAUGGAUACACUUAAAAAGGUUUUAAAAUUUUAAAGAAAAAAAAAGAAAGCUUAAUACGGAGAAUGAAAGUAAAAGCGAAGAUAUUCAAUAGAAA